rnacentral:rRNA from 1 species
CUAGUAAGCGUGAGUCAUCAGCUCGCGUUGAUUACGUCCCUGCCCUUUGUACACACCGCCCGUCGCUCCUACCGAUUGAAUGAUCCGGUGAAAUCUUCGGACCGAGAUUUUGGUGAUGGUUCGCCGUUGCUGAUAACUUGGGAAGUUGAUUAAACCUUAUCAUUUAGAGGAAGGAGAAGUCGUAACAAGGUUUCCGUAGGUGAACCUGCGGAAGGAUCAUUGACACCAAAUCCAUAUCAACC